AGGCCCUGAGCGGAGGGACACGGCCGUCUCCGGCUUCGCCUUCGUGGCCGAGGCCCAGCUUCAGUGCAGCCCCCUGGCGGGACCAGAGGCCCGGAGUCGGGAGCGCCGCAACCCGGCCCUGCGAGCAGACCUCUUCCCCAGCUGCCCUUGCCCUUUCCAUCCUAAUAGAGUCCGACCUUGCUCACGUACUUGGAAGUGCGGUAACCAGUAGCUCUUCUCCGCGGAAACCGACUGCGAUUCUCAGGGUCGCUCCACGCUCGAAAGACUGACCGAGAUGUGACGGGCAUUUGCUGGCCGCUGCACUAGGGUUAGCAUUCCAGUCCCUUUCCAUUUUUGAGAAAUUUUGUCUCAACUUUAAAAAGACAAUGGAGGCAGGAAGCCGUCCGUUUCCUGCCCCUGGACCUGGAUCUCGGAGCUGUGGCGCCAUCCGGUACCCGUGACAGCCCUUGAGAGCCAACGUUUAAAGAUGGCGUAGGGGAAAGAAAGAAAGACCCAGAUAGCGAUCAUUUCUCUGAGUGGCUGAAUUGCAGUCUUGGAAUCUCUUGUCUCUGGACUUCUUGAAAACUGAAAUAACCAGGCUAGGCUUGCUGACCAAUGAGAGGCUUAUGGCAGAGGAAGGGUUGCGGACAACUUGCCAAGCCUGAUUGGAUGUGGACUGUCGAUGAAGGCUUAGCAACCCUUUACCUAGUCUCUCAGUCUUACCAUUUACAUGUCCAGGAGUCAAGGCAGUGUCAGAGGAUGCAGAGCUUACACAAUAGCUAAGUAUGAGGUAGGAGAAGGAAGAAUUAUUGACUAGAACAUUGUAUUAGCAACAACUCCGUGCCUGAGAUCAGUCUGAGUGCUGGGAAUUCUUGCAGAACCAAGGCGGAGAAGCACCUGACUUCACAGACCUUUACUUUAGUGGAAGAAACAUGAUAAACAAAUAAGCAAACGAUCUUAUUUCAGAGUGUGAAUCACACUCAAAUGCAAAACACCUAAGCAGGGUGAUGUUUUAAAGAGCAACUAGGGAUAGGAGGGCAGAGCAGAGGGAGAAACUGUUUUAGGUAGUGGUCAGGAAGACCUCAAUACGGUAAGAGCCCCAAUUCUAAGAAGACUUGGGAGAGAGAUUGUGCAUUAGAAGUUUUUAUUACAUGGUGCAGAAGAAUGUCACUGAAAAAUUUCAGACAAGUAAUUGUGAUCUUAUUUAGAUUUCUAAAAAGUAAUAUGGGUACUAAAGUAGAAGACAAUUUGUUAAGCCAGCAAGAGAGUGAAAACUCAAGAGUGGUGGUUGCCUGUAUAGUUAGAGAUUGAAAUUUGGGAAGGAGAAACACAGAUCUUGAAUUUAUAUGUAGUAUUUUACUUUUUUAAAAGCAAAUUUAUCAUUUAAGCAAGCCAAGUAUUAUUCAUCAUCGGUCAUUAGGUUUGAGAUCCUUAUUGUAAAGGCAUGUUGUGUUUGCGGCAAUCCCUAAUGCUAAAGGAGGUGUUGAGCAGGGUGGGUCUGGGAUCCUGAGGGUCAGGAGUUUUCCAUGGGGGGCUGGCAGGCGACACCCAGGCCUCUCCAAGGAGCCCACCACUCCCCAGCCCAGUUAUUCAUCGCCAAGCUGGAACUCAAACUGUGUUGCCAGAGAAUUUAAUAAUCUGAUUUUUUAAAAUGUGAAAUGUCCUGGUUUUUAUAAGUUGGCAACUAACUCAAAUUAACUAGACAAAGCAAAAUGAAACACUGUAAGGGUCCAAAUCGAAAAGGAAAGAAAAAGAAGAAAAAGGCCAGUGCAUGAGCACGGGUUUGUCCCACCUUUCUGCUACCUCUGCUGUGGGGUCCUCAAUCAGGAUCUCUGACGAAUCUAGAUAAAGGUUAUAAUAUCUUUAUUGUUAUUCAAGAGGGGAAGGUGAAAAUGUCCUAGGGCUCUGCAGAAAGAGUGUACUAAGUGAUCCCCUAAAGUCUCUGGGCUGUGGUCAGGAUGACGGUCAGCUUCUCGUAGCCUUUACAAUCUGCAGGUUCUUACUGUGCACACUCAAGAAGAGAAAUCAGAACCUGACUCCCCCUCCCCCCCAGCCCAGCGCUGUGUCAGCAGAUGCCAGACCCAGCAGGCCCCGGCUGCUGUACACAGAGGCUCUGAACAGCUGUAAGUAGCUUAUGCCAAGAGCUCCACCAGUGUGGCAAACGGCAUUCUCUGAGCCCCAGGAGGCCAAUUACAGGUAGGAGACCACAGAGGACCUCCAGCAGCCCCCACAGCUCUCAGGCCUGCUGGGCAGGCUGGAUUUGCUGUUCUCUCUUCAUCAGAAAUGAAGUCUUGGAUUCAAGGUUGCUUAUCCAUGGGUUUUAGUUAAAAUUUUAGCAGAGGAAUUUUGGAACUGAGUACUGUAUUUCCUGAAAAGAAAAUGUCGCUCAGAUGUUAAGUUCAUACAUGAUCUUAUCAUUGUUGCCUUCUGUGAGAGACUUAUCCACCUCCUUUUUCUGUGUUACCUGGUCUAGCAAAGAUUUGCAGCCACAUAUUCUUUGAACAGAAACAGCAAUUAAUAAAGUGACAUAUAUGUGC
ensembl:lncRNA